rnacentral:lncRNA from 9 species
GCUGUUGAAUGCGCCGGCGGCAGGACCGGGUCCCCGCCGGGUGAGCAGGGCCGGGGGCCGGGGCGUGCCCGGGGCUCAGCCGUCCGCGGGGCCGCGGCUGCAGCGGCGGAGCCAGGCGCGGCCCCCGCCCGGCGGGCGUGUGUCUGCGAGCGUGCGUGUGUCCGCGGCAGCAUCGAGCCGGGAGAGGGGGCGGGAGGGGUCUCGCUGCGGCGAGGCCUGCGGAGGGCGCGGGCGCGGGCGGCGAGGGCGGCGGACAGACCGCGGCCGCGGCCCCUGACGCACGCUGCGCUCCGGCCCCCUCCCGGGCGCGGGCCCCGGCGAGGCAGAGGCGCGGCGGCGGGCGGCGGGGUCUGCGCGCACCCGCCGGCUCACAGACACACACCGGCCACGCCACAGACACACGCCACGCACCGAGCCACGGCCGGCGCGCCAAGCCCGCCGGGCGCCGCGCGCAUCGCUCCGCGCUCACACUCGCACUCACCCUCGCGCGCAGGCCCCGCAGUCGCCGCGGCCGGAGGCGGCGCUCGGCCCGGAGCCCGGCUGGGGCUGGAGAAGGAGAGGACUUGGGUGAGGAGCUGCUGCCGCCUGAGCUGGGCCAAGACCUGAGACCCUUUGGCUGCUGCUGUUGCUGUCGUCGUCGUUGUCGCCGCCGCCCCCGCCGCUGCCACCGUGGGGACCUCCCUGAGACCAGGCCAGGGACAGAGCUUCGCCGGCCAGAGGGGCUCCCUCUGCCCGCAGUCGUCCGAGCAGAGACGACUGGCCGCCCUGAGCGCAAUUCAAUUCAACAGACAUUUACUGAGUGCCUACUAUGCGCCAGGCCUUAG